rnacentral:rRNA from 1 species
UUGCCCUUUACGGCUCAGUAACACGUAGUCAACAUGCCCAGGGGACGUGGAUAACCUCGGGAAACUGAGGAUAAACCGCGAUAGGUCAUCACUUCUGGAAUGGGUAAUGACUUAAAUCUAUAUGGCCCCUGGAUUGGACUGCGGCCGGUCAGGCUGUUGGUGAGGUAAUGGCCCACCAAACCUGUAACCGGUACGGGCUCUGAGAGGAGGAGCCCGGAGAUGGGCACUGAGACAAGGGCCCAGGCCCUAUGGGGCGCAGCAGGCGCGAAACCUCUGCAAUAGGCGAAAGCUUGACAGGGUUACUCUGAGUGAUUUCCGUUAAGGAGAUCUUUUGGCACCUCUAAAAAUGGUGCAGAAUAAGGGGUGGGCAAGUCUGGUGUCAGCCGCCGCGGUAAUACCAGCACCCCGAGUGGUCGGGACGUUUAUUGGGCCUAAAGCAUCCGUAGCCGGUUCUACAAGUCUUCCGUUAAAUCCACCUGCUUAACAGAUGGGCUGCGGAAGAUACUAUAGAGCUAGGAGGCGGGAGAGGCAAGCGGUACUCGAUGGGUAGGGGUAAAAUCCGUUGAUCCAUUGAAGACCACCAGUGGCGAAGGCGGCUUGCCAGAACGCGCUCGACGGUGAGGGAUGAAAGCUGGGGGAGCAAACCGGAUUAGAUACCCGGGUAGUCCCAGCUGUAAACGAUGCAGACUCGGUGAUGAGUUGGCUUAUUGCUAACUCAGUGCCGCAGGGAAGCCGUUAAGUUUGCCGCCUGGGGAGUACGGUCGCAAGACUGAAACUUAAAGGAAUUGGCGGGGGAGCAC